rnacentral:rRNA from 1 species
UACGGAGGGUGCAGGCGUUAUCCGGAUUCACUGGGUUUAAAGGGUGUGUAGGUGGGUCUGUAAGUCAGUGGUGAAAUCUUCGAGCUUAACUCGGAAACUGCCAUUGAUACUAUAGAUCUUGAAUUUUCUGGAGGUAAGCGGAAUAUGUCAUGUAGCGGUGAAAUGCUUAGAUAUGACAUAGAACACCAAUUGCGAAGGCAGCUUACUACGGGAACAUUGACACUGAGGCACGAAAGCGUGGGGAUCAAACAGG